rnacentral:tRNA from 1 species
CCUUCGAUAGCUCAGUUGGUAGAGCGGUGGACUGUAGUUGGAAUAUGCUGGUAUCCAUAGGUCACUGGUUCAAAUCCGGUUCGAAGGA